CCUUUUUUUGAUAUUUCAAAUAUUUUAUUUCAAAAAAUUCGAUCAUACUUUGUGGUGUUUUUGAAAAAGUAACUCCAUUUAUUUAUUUAGAACAUUUGCUUCUCGAUAGUAUCUAUCGAUACUUUCAAAGUUAUAAGAGGAAUUACUCGAUUUCCUUUUCCUAUAUGGCAUAAUACAUAUUUUCUAUAUUUCGGUCGUCCAUUUUUCUAAUUUUUGUAUACUAAUAGAACCUUACUCUAUUGAUUUUAGUAUCAGUAUCUCAUAAAAGGUGAAAUUUUUUUAGAAGUUCAUUGAAGAAGUUCUAUUUGCUUAAAAAAUUUCCCUUUCUUUUUUUGUUUGUCCACUGCUUUUACUUUUUUUUAUACGCAAUAAAUCUAAUUUAUACGUAUAAAAAGUAAAAGGAAGUUAUGAUAAACCUAGAAAAAAUAGAAACUAAGAAUAGUAAUCUUUGAGGAAUUGGAUCAAGAAUGAUUAUUAUUUUGUUUUGACACAAGAAAGGGAUGUGGAAAAUUCCUUUUCUUGUGUCGAAGACUAGGAAGACGAAUAAAAUAAUACCUCCUAGAAUCCUUUGUUCCCCUCAUUUAAUUUAGCCUUUCUGUGCUUUUCCGCUUACUUAUCUUAUGCUUAGUAUCUAGUCAAAUUGGAUUCUAUUUAAAAUAGAAAAGCUAUUGAUCCACUCUAUGACAGUUAAAUCUGACAAUAGUAAGAUA
rnacentral:lncRNA from 1 species